rnacentral:pre_miRNA from 1 species
UAAAUACUCCCUCCGUUCCGAAUUACUUGUCGCAGGUAUGGAUGUAUCUAGAUGUAUUUUAGUUUUAGAUACAUCCAUUUCUGCGAUGAGUAAUUUGGAACGGAGGGAGUAGUUA